rnacentral:rRNA from 1 species
GACGAACGCUGGCGGCGUGCUUAACACAUGCUAGUCGUACGGUAAGGCCCUUUCGGGGGUACACGAGUGGCGAACGGGUGAGUAACACGUGAGUAACCUGCCCACAACUUUGGGAUAACGCUAGGAAACUGGUGCUAAUACUGGAUAUGUGCUCCUGCUGCAUGGUGGGGGUUGGAAAGCUCCGGCGGUUGUGGAUGGACUCGCGGCCUAUCAGCUUGUUGGUGGGGUAGUGGCCUACCAAGGCGGCGACGGGUAGCCGGCCUGAGAGGGUGACCGGCCACAUUGGGACUGAGAGACGGCCCAGACUCCUACGGGAGGCAGCAGUGGGGAAUAUUGCACAAUGGGCGCAAGCCUGAUGCAGCAACGCCGCGUGCGGGAUGACGGCCUUCGGGUUGUAAACCGCUUUCAGCAGGGACGAAGCUUUUUGUGACGGUACCUGCAGAAGAAGCACCGGCUAACUACGUG